rnacentral:rRNA from 1 species
AGUGAACGCUGGCGGUAGGCCUAACACAUGCAAGUCGAACGGCAGCACAGUAAGAGCUUGCUCUUACGGGUGGCGAGUGGCGGACGGGUGAGGAAUACAUCGGAAUCUACUUUUUCGUGGGGGAUAACGUAGGGAAACUUACGCUACUACCGCAUACGACCUACGGGUGAAAUCAGGGGAUCUUCGGACCUUGCGCGAUUGAAUGAGCCGAUGUCGGAUUAGCUAGUUGGCGGGGUAAAGGCCCACCAAGGCGACGAUCCGUAGCUGGUCUGAGAGGAUGAUCAGCCACACUGGAACUGAGACACGGUCCAGACUCCUACGGGAGGCAGCAGUGGGGAAUAUUGGACAAUGGGCGCAAGCCUGAUCCAGCCAUACCGCGUGGGUGAAGAAGGCCUUCGGGUUGUAAAGCCCUUUUGUUGGGAAAGAAAAGCAGCAGGUUAAUACACCGCUGUCCUGACGGUACCCAAAGAAUAAGCACCGGCUAACUUCGUG